AAAAAUUUGUAUAUCGACCACUCCCACAAACAUCUACGACCGCGCCAAAACUAUGUAGGCACGGUCAUAGAUGUUUGUGGGAGUGGUCGAUAUACAAAUUUUU